AAAGUACAUGUGUGGGGUGGUAUCUCCCGCAGAGGCCCAGGACCAAUUUUAAUUUCUGAAGGUAUCAUGGAUAAAACAUUCUUCCAGUCCAUGAUCAUUAAUGAUACUUUAGUGCCGUAUGUAAGAAAGUAUUGGUCAUCUGGACAUCGAAUGUUCCAGGACAAUGAUCCAAAACAUAGUGCUUCGGCCAAAUUCAUAGAGGAAAAAGGCAUCAUUUGGUAACGCACACCACCAGAAUCACCGGACAUGAAUCCUAUCGAGCUAGUGUGGUCUCAAAUGAAAAGUUAUAUUCGUUCUCAAUGUAAGCCAAGGACAAAAGAGCAACUGAUUGAUGGCAUCAAUACAUUUUGGAAAAACGUACUUACAUUGGAGACCUGUAAUAAUUAUGUAGACCAUUUAUUUUCUGU